rnacentral:rRNA from 1 species
GCGCGCAGGCGGAUUAGCAAGUCAGAUGUGAAAUCUCGGGGCUUAACCCCGAAACUGCGUCUGAAACUGUUAGUCUAGAAUCUCAGAGGGGGCAGGGGAAUUUCACGUGUAGGGGUAAAAUCCGUAGAGAUGCGAAGGAACACCAGAGGCGAAGGCGCCUUCCUGGACGAGUACUGACGCUGAGGCGCGAAAGCGUGGGGAGCAAACAGG